CAAGUCAAAAAGAAGACUCAAAGCGGUAUACAAAAGUAAAUAUUGAAAUGCCAGUUUGUUGAGUAAAUGUACAAAAAAGAAAAUAAAGCCAAGGUCUUAAAACUUUUCUAAAGCACAACUUGUAAAAGAGACAUGGGAAAUAAUGGCAUUCCAGAUGGCAGGAAUGGCAGUAGUUUGGAUUAAAAUUACCACUUUUCUGUUUCAUCAUAAACUAAGCUUGGAACCAAAGCUAUUUGCUUUGGAAUAAUUUGCUUUUCAUUUGUGCUGAAAGAGAAAAUAUGAGCUUUAUAACUCAUGGAAUUACAGAUAAAAUGUUAAUACCUUUCAUUGUGGAAGCCCUUCCUGCUCCCUUUUACAGGGUGGUUUUAUAAAUGGUGUUUACCUAUGAAAAAACUUAGAUUAAUUUAGCUUGAGUUUGUAUUUGUGUUACCUGUUUCUUGCAGGACUGCAAAAUGUAUUAACCUUUAACUUCAAACUGUAUAUUACAUUGCAUAGGGUUUAAAGCAGGGCCGAGUGGAAGCUACCUUGGGAAGACACAGUCACUUGAAAUAAGUCUGAUGCUUAUUCUGGACAAAUUGAGUAACAUUCAGAUAAAUUCUGACAUGCUGAUUCUUAGAGUCAACUUAGACGAAGUUGAAGACGAAGACUAAUCUUCACUGCUAGCUCCACAGCAACAUUAUUUUGAUGUAUUCCAUGUUGUAGUUGUGGACAACAGCAAUGACCUAAGUGAAAAACUCUAUUCAAGCAUAGAUUAUCCAGGAUCCAGGACUAGAACAACUCUUCUGUCAGUUAAGGGAAUGGUUGCUUGUUAUCACUCAACUGAUUUGAAAUACUGGUCAAUAAAAUUAACUUUUUCCAAAUUGA